rnacentral:rRNA from 1 species
GUCCGAGUUGUAAUUUGAAGAAGGUAUCUUUGGGUCUGGCUCUUGUCUAUGUUUCUUGGAACAGAACGUCACAGAGGGUGAGAAUCCCGUGCGAUGAGAUGACCCAGACCUAUGUAAAGUUCCUUCGAAGAGUCGAGUUGUUUGGGAAUGCAGCUCUAAGUGGGUGGUAAAUUCCAUCUAAAGCUAAAUAUUGGCGAGAGACCGAUAGCGAACAAGUACAGUGAUGGAAAGAUGAAAAGAACUUUGAAAAGAGAGUGAAAAAGUACGUGAAAUUGUUGAAAGGGAAGGGCUUGAGAUCAGACUUGGUAUUUUGUAUGUUACUCUUUCGGGGGUGGCCUCUACAGUUUACCGGGCCAGCAUCAGUUUGGGCGGUAGGAGAAUUGCAAAGAAAUGUGGCACUGCUUCGGUAGUGUGUUAUAGUCUUUGUCGAUACUGCCAGCCUAGACUGAGGACUGCGGCUUCGGCCUAGGAUGUUGGCAUAAUGAUCUUAAGUCGCCCGUCUUGAAACACGG